GAUGGAUGCUUUCGGUCAAAAUACUAAAGUUUUACUGGACGAUGUCAAAAUGGACAACAACCCCCUCAAUGCUACUGUAUUUUGGCACUUAGCGUGGAAUCGUAAGAAGAUACCCUACACAAAUGGAUGCAGAUUCUUUACAUUUGAAGAAGUUGAAGGAAGAUUGCUUAUUCGCAAGAUAGUCGGCAUGGAAGAACUUCCACUAAAACCUGGUGAACUAGCACU